rnacentral:lncRNA from 1 species
CCGCCCUGCCCCGUGAACCCUCUCCGCUGCCGCCUCCCCUCGCCCACCUCGACGGCCAUGUUCGUGGGUGGGGAGAGGCCAGCCCGACCCUCGGACGGCGGGACUCGCGGGCUACUUUAGGGUUACCAAUGAUCCUGAUCUGCCCAAGGCUGAGGAGUUUCCCAGGAUAUGGGACUUUCACUGCUAAAACCAGGAUAGUCCCAUGCAAAGCAGCAUGGCUGAUCACCCUACUUGCUGCCAUGAGACUACCACCAUCCUCGAGGAUGAUAGAUCCCAAGGAGAGAGUGACCCAGUCAACAUCCAGCCCCAUCAGCAUGUGACUUAUCCAGCCCCAGUCCAGUCACCAGAUAAUAGCAAAUGCAUGAGUUAAUUCAGGUGAGACCAUCAGAACGAUCUAGCUGAACUUGUCUCAAAUUGCUGUCCUCUGUUGGAGUUUUUCUGCACAUAAAAAAUAAAAUUGCUGUCCUACAUAACUGUAAAAAAAAAAAAAAA